GAUGAUUGUAUGUAUUACUGUCACAUGUCGCGUACGAAUGAUGUGGACAUAGCGACUAAAUUAAGCGAAACUAGUGUAAAUGAACACUUUUUUUGGUAUCUUAAAAAUCCAUUACUAUUUAGAAACCUAUGUUUUUUUGAGGGGGCAAACCAAACUGAUAUACUAGUUUUUACCAAUGUUCGGUCUCGGCGGGCGCUUAAUCGGCGGAUAUUCGUCAACGGUGAGGAGCCGACGCAAUUUCAUCAUAAUCAGUCAAAGAAUCGGUUGAUUUAAAAAAAAUCUUGAUUUUUUUGUGCUUUUGGGCUAUUUUUUUGGAAUUCCUUUUUUUUUCUUUUUUGAUCGUGGAAACGUAUCCUUAAGCAAUCUAUAGUAUUAAAAUACUCUAGGAUCUAAUAUUCCAAUGAAAACAUUCAUUUUCCCUCUAAUAUAUAUAAAUGUUUCGAUAUUGUAAACAUGACAUUGUAAACUGACGCUAAAAUUUGACCCCCGAGGAUAUAGGGCGUGUCAUUGUUGAUGUUUAGACCACAUCUCAGUUGGAUAAUUGGUUAGCAAAUGGUCAAUACACAAUUCGUCCUAUGAUAUUAGGGCCCGUGCAGAUGUGGAAGGAGCUACUGCCUACUGGUAGGGUUCGAAUGCAAGCUUCAACUUUAGCUAUGAAACAAAUAUUACAUAUUAUUGUUUACUUAAAACCUUAAUUUAAACUUAUAAGUAUGAUUAUAGAUUCACCCUAAUUC
rnacentral:lncRNA from 1 species